UACGAAGGGUGCAAGCGUUGUUCGGAAUUACUGGGCGUAAAGGGUGUGUAGGCGGUCAUGUAAGAUAGCGGUGAAAUCCCGGGGCUCAACCUCGGAAUUGCCAUUAUAACUAUGUGACUAGAGUGACAGAGAGGAUAUUGGAAUACCCAGUGUAGAGGUGAAAUUCGUAGAUAUUGGGUAGAACACCGGAGGCGAAGGCGAGUAUCUGGCUGUAAACUGACGCUGAGGCACGAAAGCAUGGGGAUCAAAC
rnacentral:rRNA from 1 species